CCAGAAGGAUUUCACUCCUCCCCUUCACGCCCUAAGCAAAAGUGCCAGAAAACAACAGUCAUCACAAUGACCUCAACACUGAUGAGAAAGAUUAGCAACAAUCUGAAUAACUGUCUCAUGUUGCAAGGGUUAUUUAUUAUUCCUUUUUUGUUAGUUAUCACAUAGAACAGGUUGGCAGAGGUGAACAACAGUGGGGAGAAAGUCAAAACAUUCUCCAAAGAAGCAAGUAGAAUCAACUCACACUGACACCAGGAAGAAGUCUGCAGGGCCUGUGCAGUGGAGACAAGAGCUUCUAUUGCAGGAAAGCCUUCUCCUUAUGGAACUCAAGAUGAAGUUAGUGAUUUAUUUGACAUGCUGAAUUGAAAAAGAAGCAUCAAGUUCUCUCUGACCUCUCCAUCCCCUCUGUCUCUUCCAAAGCACAGGAUGAAGUUAUUCUCUGAAAAACCAAACAAAUUUUCUUCUUUUUAAAUCUUUCUUCUCCUGAAAACUACCAAAGUGGUAUCGAUUAGAAUAUUUCCCAUGUCUUUUAUCUGCUAUUGAAUAACAAGAAUUGAAAAGCAUAAUUUGCUCUAAAAGAGAGGCCCAAAAUUGUCAUUCAUAGGUGACUAGAAAAAGAAAUUCUUCUCCAAAUGUUCCCAUUCAUGCCUGUGCUGGGUCUUAGCUGAGCCGAAUUUACGUAUUGAUGCUCCAGUGCCUGCUUAGCAGUAUUAAGAGGUGGGGUCUUUAAGAGGUGUUUAGGUCAAGAGUGCUCCGCUCUCAUAAAUAGAUUAAUGUCAUUAUCUCGGGAGUGGGUUUAUCCCCUCCUUCUCUCUCUCUUAG
rnacentral:lncRNA from 10 species